UGAAUCUCCAGUUUUACUCUUAGUCAUAAAAUUGGCCCUAAAUAGAGGAAAAGUAAACAUAAAGAUUUUUAAAUACAUAAGAAUGAAAUCAAUGUAUUACAAGGAUACCAAAAACGAGAUGAUGAUUUCGAGCUCUGUGUCUCUAACCACGUCUCCAAAACACAUGACGAAACUGGGACCCUCGCUAAAAUAAAAUCGACCGUUCGCCGAGUUAACAACCUGUGAAUCUAGCCUGAAAACACAACGCGUGAAAUGCCAAAAUUACUUGAGCUGCAUCGAUUCUAUCUAUAGAGAACGGAAUGCUGGCAAGCUGAAACAUCCAUAACAAAUUUUGUUUUGCUCGAGUAAUAUAGCUUAAUAAUAAAUAAAACUAAGUCUACAUAAAGUUAAUAAUUUUUAGUUUGAAUAUAAUUCUUACAAAGCUACUAGAUGUUUUUACAUCAACAUUAUACCUCUUCUAAC